rnacentral:rRNA from 1 species
CGACCUCAGCUCAGGAGAGAUUACCCCUGAAUUUAAGCAUAUUAAUAAGGGGAGGAAAAGAAACUAAC